rnacentral:lncRNA from 1 species
CAGAAAGACAAGCUGAAGUACUUCAUGGGACAGGAUCUGCCCAGGCACUAACAAAGGUUAAUUCAGCUAACCGAGUUUCUCAACUAUUAGAUUAAUGAAUGUCCUGCUUUCCUCAUUCUAUCACUAAUUGGAUGACUGUCUUUCAAGUUGGGCCAUUUUUUGGUUUACUAACAGACACACGAGGACGAGGCUGCUCUGUGCACUGGAAUCGCCCAUCAGCCACAGGGUCUCCGCUCAGAUGUCAAGCUCCUUGA